rnacentral:rRNA from 1 species
AUUGAGAACAACGUACAACUCUUAUCGAUAAGCCAUUGGAGGGCAAGUCUGGUGCCAGCAGCCGCGGUAAUUCCAGCUCCAAUAGCGUAUAUUAACGUUGUUGCAGUUAAAAAGCUCGUAGUUGAAGUGAGGGAGUGUGUAGUAGGACCGACUUGAUCGGAACUGCUGCAACCUCCCCCCUCCAAUCGGUGUAGUGGGGUAUUCAGUUAUUCUACUACUCCUUUGGUCGUUUACUGUGAGAAAAUUAGAGUGUUCAAAGCGGGCGUUUGUUUGAAUAGAUUAGCAUGGAAUAAUGAUUGAAGGCUUUCGUGUUCGAUUUGAUUGGUUUGUUCAUGGAAGCAAGGUUAAAAGGAACAGUUGGGGGUAUUCAUAUUCACUAGUUAGAGGUGAAAUUCUCGGAUUUAUGGAAGAUGAACAAGUGCGAAAGCA